UACAGAGGUCUCGAGCGUUGUUCGGAUUCAUUGGGCGUAAAGGGUGCGUAGGUGGCUUGGUAAGUCGGAUGUGAAAUCCCGGGGCUCAACCCCGGAACUGCAUUCGAUACUGCCGGGCUGGAGUACUGGAGAGGAGAUCGGAAUUUACGGUGUAGCAGUGAAAUGCGUAGAUAUCGUAAGGAAGACCAGUGGCGAAGGCGAGUCUCUGGACAGUACUGACACUGAGGCACGAAGGCCAGGGGAGCAAACCGGG
rnacentral:rRNA from 1 species